CCUACGGGAGGCAGCAGUAGGGAAUCUUCCGCAAUGGACGAAAGUCUGACGGAGCAACGCCGCGUGAGUGAAGAAGGUUUUCGGAUCGUAAAACUCUGUUGUCAGAGAAGAACACGUUGGAGAGUAACUGCUCCAGCCUUGACGGUAUCUGACCAGAAAGCCACGGCUAACUACGUGCCAGCAGCCGCGGUAAUA
rnacentral:rRNA from 1 species